rnacentral:piRNA from 1 species
UAUCCGUUUCGCAAUUGGCAUGGGUUGA